rnacentral:rRNA from 1 species
GACGAACGCUGGCGGCGUGCUUAACACAUGCAAGUCGAACGGAAAGGCCCUGCUUUUGUGGGUUGCUCGAGUGGCGAACGGGGGAGUAACACGUGAGUAACCUGCCCUUGACUUUGGGAUAACUUCAGGAAACUGGGGCUAAUACCGGAUAGGAGCUCCUGCUGCAUGGUGGGGGUUGGAAAGUUUCGGCGGUGGGGGAUGGACUGGCGGCUUAUGAGCUUGUUGGGGGGGUAGUGGUUUACCAAGGCUUUGACGGGUAGCCGGCCUGAGAGGGGGACCAGCCUCCAUGCGACUGAGGGACGGCGCAGAAUCGAACCGGACGCAGUGGGCGAGAAUAUUACAGAAUAGCGCCGAGCCAGAGGCAGCAGCCCCGCGUGCGUGAAAAUGGCUUACGAGUUAAGAACAGAUUUCGCCGGAGAUGAGGACUGAGUGACGGUACCUAAUCAGGAAGCACCGGCUAACUACGUG